UAAGGAAUAUUGGGCAAUGGACGAAAGUCUGACCCAGCCAUGCCGCGUGAAGGAUGAAGGUCCUCUGGAUUGUAAACUUCUUUUAUCUGGGGCGAAAACCUCCCUUUCUAGGGGGCUUGACAGUACCAGAAGAAUAAGCACCGGCUAACUCCGUGCCAGCAGCCGCGGUAAUACGGAGGGUGCAAGCGUUAUCCGGAUUCACUGGGUUUAAAGGGUGCGUAGGCGGGCAGGUAAGUCAGUGGUGAAAUCCCCGAGCUUAACUCGGGAACUGCCGUUGAUACUAUCUGUCUUGAAUACCGUGGAGGUGAGCGGAAUAUGUCAUGUAGCGGUGAAAUGCUUAGAUAUGACAUAGAACACCAAUUGCGAAGGCAGCUCGCUACACGGUCAUUGACGCUGAGGC
rnacentral:rRNA from 1 species